GACGAACGCUGGCGGCGUGCUUAACACAUGCAAGUCGAGCGGUAAGGCCCUUUCGGGGGUACACGAGCGGCGAACGGGUGAGUAACACGUGGGUGACCUGCCCUUAGCUCUGGGAUAAGCCUGGGAAACUGGGUCUAAUACCGGAUAUGACUCCAUGACGCAUGUUGUGGGGUGGAAAGCCUUGUGCGGCUAGGGAUGGGCCCGCGGCCUAUCAGCUUGUUGGUGGGGUGAUGGCCUACCAAGGCGACGACGGUAGCCGGCC
rnacentral:rRNA from 1 species